rnacentral:rRNA from 1 species
UGCAAACUGCGAAUACCGGAGAAUGUUAUCACGGGAGACACACGGCGGGUGCUAACGUCCGUCGUGAAGAGGGAAACAACCCAGACCGCCAGCUAAGGUCCCAAAGUCAUGGUUAAGUGGGAAACGAUGUGGGAAGGCCCAGACAGCCAGGAUGUUGGCUUAGAAGCAGCCAUCAUUUAAAGAAAGCGUAAUAGCUCACUGGUCGAGUCGGCCUGCGCGGAAGAUGUAACGGGGCUAAACCAUGCACCGAAGCUGCGGCAGCGACACUGUGUGUUGUUGGGUAGGGGAGCGUUCUGUAAGCCUGCGAAGGUGUGCUGUGAGGCAUGCUGGAGGUAUCAGAAGUGCGAAUGCUGACAUAAGUAACGAUAAAGCGGGUGAAAAGCCCGCUCGCCGGAAGACCAAGGGUUCCUGUCCAACGUUAAUCGGGGCAGGGUGAGUCGACCCCUAAGGCGAGGCCGAAAGGCGUAGUCGAUGGGAAACAGGUUAAUAUUCCUGUACUUGGUGUUACCGCGAAGGGGGGACGGAGAAGGCUAUGUUGGCCGGGCGACGGUUGUCCCGGUUUAAGCGUGUAGGCUGGUUUUCCAGGCAAAUCCGGAAAAUCAAGGCUGAGGCGUGAUGACGAGGCACUACGGUGCUGAAGCAACAAAUGCCCUGCUUCCAGGAAAAGCCUCUAAGCAUCAGGUAACAUCAAAUCGUACCCCAAACCGACACAGGUGGUCAGGUAGAGAAUACCAAGGCGCUUGAGAGAACUCGGGUGAAGGAACUAGGCAAAAUGGUGCCGUAACUUCGGGAGAAGGCACGCUGAUAUGUAGGUGAAGUCCCUCGCGGAUGGAGCUGAAAUCAGUCGAAGAUACCAGCUGGCUGCAACUGUUUAUUAAAAACACAGCACUGUGCAAACACGAAAGUGGACGUAUACGGUGUGACGCCUGCCCGGUGCCGGAAGGUUAAUUGAUGGGGUCAGCGCAAGCGAAGCUCUUGAUCGAAGCCCCGGUAAACGGCGGCCGUAACUAUAACGGUCCUAAGGUAGCGAAAUUCCUUGUCGGGUAAGUUCCGACCUGCACGAAUGGCGUAAUGAUGGCCAGGCUGUCUCCACCCGAGACUCAGUGAAAUUGAACUCGCUGUGAAGAUGCAGUGUACCCGCGGCAAGACGGAAAGACCCCGUGAACCUUUACUAUAGCUUGACACUGAACAUUGAGCCUUGAUGUGUAGGAUAGGUGGGAGGCUUUGAAGUGUGGACGCCAGUCUGCAUGGAGCCGACCUUGAAAUACCACCCUUUAAUGUUUGAUGUUCUAACGUUGACCCGUGAUCCGGGUUGCGGACAGUGUCUGGUGGGUAGUUUGACUGGGGCGGUCUCCUCCUAAAGAGUAACGGAGGAGCACGAAGGUUGGCUAAUCCUGGUCGGACAUCAGGAGGUUAGUGCAAUGGCAUAAGCCAGCUUGACUGCGAGCGUGACGGCGCGAGCAGGUGCGAAAGCAGGUCAUAGUGAUCCGGUGGUUCUGAAUGGAAGGGCCAUCGCUCAACGGAUAAAAGGUACUCCGGGGAUAACAGGCUGAUACCGCCCAAGAGUUCAUAUCGACGGCGGUGUUUGGCACCUCGAUGUCGGCUCAUCACAUCCUGGGGCUGAAGUAGGUCCCAAGGGUAUGGCUGUUCGCCAUUUAAAGUGGUACGCGAGCUGGGUUUAGAACGUCGUGAGACAGUUCGGUCCCUAUCUGCCGUGGGCGCUGGAGAACUGAGGGGGGCUGCUCCUAGUACGAGAGGACCGGAGUGGACGCAUCACUGGUGUUCGGGUUGUCAUGCCAAUGGCACUGCCCGGUAGCUAAAUGCGGAAGAGAUAAGUGCUGAAAGCAUCUAAGCACGAAACUUGCCCCGAGAUGAGUUCUCCCUGACUCCUUGAGAGUCCUGAAGGAACGUUGAAGACGACGACGUUGAUAGGCCGGGUGUGUAAGCGCAGCGAUGCGUUGAGCUAACCGGUACUAAUGAACCGUGAGG